CGGGGCGUAGCGCAGCCCGGUAGCGCGCACGGUUCGGGUCCGUGAGGUCGCCGGUUCAAAUCCGGCCGCCCCGA
rnacentral:tRNA from 1 species